rnacentral:rRNA from 1 species
AUUGAACGCUGGCGGCAUGCUUUACACAUGCAAGUCGAACGGUAACAGGCCUUCGGGUGCUGACGGGUGGCGAACGGGUGAGUAAUGCAUCGGAACGUACCCAGAGGUGGGGGAUAACGCAGCGAAAGCUGUGCUAAUACCGCAUGUGAUCUGAGGAUGAAAGCGGGGGACCGAGCAGCAAUGUUUGGCCUCGCGCCUUUGGAGCGGCCGAUGUCGGAUUAGCUAGUUGGUGGGGUAAAGGCCUACCAAGGCGACGAUCCGUAGCUGGUCUGAGAGGACGACCAGCCACACUGGGACUGAGACACGGCCCAGACUCCUACGGGAGGCAGCAGUGGGGAAUGUUGGACAAUGGGCGCAAGCCUGAUCCAGCAAUGCCGCGUGCGGGAAGAAGGCCUUCGGGUUGUAAACCGCUUUUGGCAGGAACGAAACGGUGUCCGCUAAUACCGGGCGCUAAUGACGGUACCUGCAGAAUAAGCACCGGCUAACUACGUG